CCAUGUCGGAAUGCGUCCGUUGCCGAGAUCGAGCAUCCAGCGCUUGCCGGCUUUCAGAUCGACAAAGUCGAACUGCGCACGCUCCGGUCCGACAAGACCGUGCUCGCUCCCGAUCGACAGCGCAUAGGAGCGCGCGUGAAGNUCCCGACAACAGCAAAUGAUUGCCGUUGUCGAUGACCAUGUCCGUCGCACCAUCAUAGUACGAGCGGCAGCGGCCGCCGGCCUGCUGCGUCGCCUCGUGAACAUGGACCUCGAAUCCUUCAUUCGCGAGCCGAACACCCGCGGACAGGCCGGAGACCCCGGCGCCGAUGAUAUGAGCUUUUGCCAUCAGAUGAAUGCAUACCGAAUGAGAAUGAAGAUCUUGGCGGCCUUGCUGAGCUUGACCGGCUUGCGCGGCAGCGCGAAGCCGCGCUCCACGAGCUUUUCGAGGAUCGCGUG
rnacentral:misc_RNA from 1 species